rnacentral:rRNA from 1 species
UACGUAGGGGGCAAGCGUUGUCCGGAUUUAUUGGGCGUAAAGAGCGUGUAGGCGGUUUGGUAGGUCCGCUGUGAAAACUCGAGGCUCAACCUCGAGAUGUCGGCGGAAACCAUCUGGCUAGAGUCCGGAAGAGGAAAGUGGAAUUCCCGGUGUAGCGGUGAAAUGCGCAGAUAUCGGGAAGAACACCCGUGGCGAAGGCGGCUUUCUGGGACGGUACUGACGCUGAGACGCGAAAGCGUGGGGAGCGAACAGG